rnacentral:rRNA from 1 species
GACGAACGCUGGCGGCGUGCUUAACACAUGCAAGUCGAACGGUGAAGCGCUUUCCUUUUUGGUUGGUGUGGAUGAGUGGCGAACGGGUGAGUAACACGUGAGUAACCUGCCCCCUUCUUCUGGAUAACCGCAUGAAAGUGUGGCUAAUACGGGAUAUUCUGCGCCUGCUGCAUGGUGGGUGUGGGAAAGAUUGUGCCUUUGGGUGUUUUCGGUGGGGGAUGGGCUCGCGGCCUAUCAGCUUGUUGGUGGGGUGAUGGCCUACCAAGGCGGUGACGGGUAGCCGGCCUGAGAGGGUGGACGGUCACACUGGGACUGAGACACGGCCCAGACUCCUACGGGAGGCAGCAGUGGGGAAGAUUGCACAAUGGGCGCAAGCCUGAUGCAGCGACGCCGCGUGAGGGAGGGAGGCCUUCGGGUUGUGAACCUCUUUCGCCAGUGAAGCAGGCCUGCUCCUUGUGGGUGGGUUGACGGUAGCUGGAGAAGAAGCGCCGGCUAACUACGUG